rnacentral:rRNA from 1 species
UACGAAGGGAGCUAGCGUUGUUCGGAAUCACUGGGCGUAAAGCGCACGUAGGCGGAUGUGUCAGUCAGGGGUGAAAUCCCGGAGCUCAACUUCGGAACUGCCUUUGAUACAGCACGUCUUGAGUCCGGAAGAGGUGGGUGGAAUUCCUAGUGUAGAGGUGAAAUUCGUAGAUAUUAGGAAGAACACCAAUGGCGAAGGCAGCUCGCUGGGACGGUACUGACGCUGAGGCGCGAAAGCGUGGGGAGCAAACAGG